GGCGUGUACUGCUCUGCUGGGCCUUACCUCUUGGUGAGCCGGCGUGGCCUUAACUGGUUGCGUCGGGGAACCAGGACUUUUACCUUGAGAAAAUUAGAGUGUUCAAAGCAGGCCUAUGCCUGAAUACAUUAGCAUGGAAUAAUAAAAUAGGACGUGCGGUUCUAUUUUGUUGGUUUCUAGAGUCGCCGUAAUGAUUAAUAGGGAUAGUUGGGGGCAUUGGUAUUGAGUCGCUAGAGGUGAAAUUCUUGGAUUGACUCAAGACCGACUAUUGCGAAAGCAUUUGCCAAGGAUGUUUUCAUUAAUCAAGGACGAAGGUUAGGGGAUCGAAAACGAUCAGAUACCGUUGUAGUCUUAACAGUAAACUAUGCCGACUAGGGAUCGGGCGACCUCAAAUUUGAUGUGUCGCUCGGCACCUUACGAGAAAUCAAAGUUUUUGGGUUCUGGGGGGAGUAUGGUCGCAAGGCUGAAACUUAAAGGAAUUGACGGAAGGGCACCACCAGGUGUGGAGCCUGCGGCUUAAUUUGACUCAACACGGGGAAACUCACCAGGUCCAGACAUAACUAGGAUUGACAGAUUGAUAGCUCUUUCAUGAUUUUAUGGGUGGUGGUGCAUGGGCCGUUCUUAGUUGGUGGAGUGAUUUGUCUGGUUAAUUCCGAUAACGAACGAGACCUUAACCUGCUAAAUAGCCAGGCCGGCUUCUGCUGGUCGCAGGCUUCUUAGAGGGACUGUCAG
rnacentral:rRNA from 1 species